CCUAUCAUGCAAGUCGAACGGAACUUUUGAACUUAGAUUUUAGAUAUUGGAACUUAACAGCUUGCCUGCUAACUUCCAGCUUCUAACCUCUAAGAGCUCAAUUGUUUAGUGGCGGACUGGUGAGUAACGCGUUGGAACCUACCCCGGAGUGGGGAAUAACUUCGAGAAAUCGAGGCUAAUACCCCAUAGUCUCCGCCUCGUGCGGAGUAAAGAUUUAUCGCUCCGGGAGGGGCCUGCGUCUGAUUAGCUAGUUGGUGAGGUAAAAGCUCACCAAGGCGACGAUCAGUAGCUGGAUCGAGAGGUUGACCAGCCACACUGGGACUGAGAUACGGCCCAGACUCCUACGGGAGGCAGCAGUAAGGAAUAUUCCACAAUGGGGGAAACCCUGAUGGAGCAAUGCCGCGUGCAGGAAGACGCGUUUCGGCGUGUAAACUGCUUUUAAACAGGAUGAUUAUGACAGUACUGUUAGAAUAAGGACCGGCUAAUUACGUGCCAGCAGCCGCGGUAAUACGUAAGGUCCAAGCGUUAUCCGGAUUUACUGGGCGUAAAGCGUCUGUAGGCGGCCAAGCAAGUUGGGUGCGAAAUUUUGUGGCUCAACCAUGAAACUGUAUUCAAAACUGCUAGGCUCGAGGUUGGUAGAGGUACGUGGAACGUGCGGUGUAGGGGUGACAUCCGUAGAUAUCGCACAGAACACCAAUGGCGAAGGCAGCGUACUGGGCCACACCUGACGCUCAGAGACGAAAGCGUGGGGAGCGAACGGAAUUAGAUACUCCGGUAGUCCACGCCGUAAACGAUGAUCACUAGUUGUAUGGAGUUUCGACCCUCUGUGCAGCAAAGCUAACGCGUUAAGUGAUCCGCCUGGGGAGUACGAGCGCAAGCUUNAAACUCAAAGGAAUUGACGGGGAGCCGCACAAGCAGAGGAGGAUGUGGUUUAAUUNGAGGCUAAGCGAAGAACCUUACCAAGGCUUGACAUCCUGGGAAUCUUUGGGAAACCAUUGAGUGCCUUCGGGAAUCCAGUGACAGGUGCUGCAUGGCCGUCGUCAGCUCGUGUCGUGAGAUGUUGGGUUAAGUCCCGCAACGAGCGCAACCCCUAUCGUUUGUUGAAUUUUCAAACGAGACUGCCCGGGACAACCGGGAGGAAGGUGGGGACGACGUCUGGUCUGCAUGGCCCUUACGCCUUGGGCUACACACGUCCUACAAUGGCCACUACAACGCGUUGCCAAACCGCAAGGUGGAGCUAAUCGCAUCAAAAGUGGUCUCAGUUCGGAUUGAGGGCUGAAACUCGCCCUCAUGAAGCCGGAUUUGCUAGUAAUGGUGGAUCANCCACGCCGCCGUGAAUACGUUCCCGGCUCUUGUACACACCGCCCGUCAAGUCACGGGAGUUNNNGGNGCCUGAAGUUCUGUCUCAGACAGGCCUAGGGUAAAACCAGCGAUCUGGGGCUAAGUCUACCAAGUUNGCG
rnacentral:rRNA from 1 species